rfam:Medicago truncatula strain A17 chromosome 4, whole genome shotgun sequence.
GGCUUAAAUGCCAUUUUGGUCCUUUAAGUAUUUAUUUGGUAUCGCUUUGGUCCCUUAACUAAAAAAAAGAUUGUUUGAGUACUUUAAUUUAAUUUUCGUUACAUUUUUUGGUCCAUUCCGUUAGGUUUAAUAAAAAAUGUUAAGUGUGAUACACGUGUCGUUUUGGCAUUGGCUCUGGAAACAUUAAGGGACCAAAGUGAUACCAAAUAAAUACUUACGGGACCAAAAGAGCAUUUAAGUUU